GGUCUCAUCUGACUCGUGUCUCGGAGAAACUCAGUCACCACAAAGCCUCAAAUUUCACCUCCUACAAUCAAAACCAGGGCUGUCUGUGGAGCAGCAACCUGCACUCAGCUUGGGGGAAAGAUCUUCAAUGCCCGGCCUGGCUUAACUGUGAACAUGGUUGCUCUUUUCCCUGAUUUCCCGUGUUCCCGGAAUUUAGCAAGGAAGCCAAGCUUAACUGAAAUCAUGUCCGAGGUGACGCAAAAGCGUUUUAGAGAAACGGGCCGCAGGUUACAACGUUUUUUCUCGGUGUCAUUCAGUGGCUGAGCUGGGGAGACAAUUCCACCGGACCCAUGGCCAGGAGAUCCUACUCACAAUUGUAGGCACAUCUGAUAGGGAAAUAAAAGUUGACAAUCGGCCAACAGCAAUUAUCAACUAUUUGCGGCACAUGUAUAACUAGUAAUUCAGGCUUUUCUAAGACUUGUUGCUAAACACUUUUUUUCCAAGCUACACAACUACAUGUACAUGUAUCAUCAAAUUUUACCAUGAGAACUUAAGAUAUAAGUAUGAUCAAUUAGUGGAACAAAAUUGAGACUGAACUGAUUCAACUGCGUCAAAGUUACUUUACUUUAAUACAGCCCGUCAGAAAAGCAUGUGAAAUAGUAUGGACUUUUCUUCCUAUAUUUAAACAAAACUACUUACAAUAAUGAAAAUAAAACAAACAAUAACUGCAGUGGUGUGCUCAGAGAAAAAAACUAUUGAAAUCAAGAGCUCCUCUAGGUUUUUGUCAAUUAUAUUCAACAUUUCAUUAAAAAAAGAUCUUUAAAAUAUCUGAAAAUUACAUUGAAUUUUUAUGUCCCCAACUGAGCUAAGCAGUGGAAGUAUGUAGUGAUAAUGUUCAUUCGAAUUUAAUUUCCUUUAAGACGGCGAGAGAAACCCAUGUAUAUUCAACGUGGAAAAUAGAUAGCCAAAGCCAGACAAACUGAGAAACAGGUUUUUUUUCCAGAAAGAAAUAUGAGAUGCAGAGAACUGGGUUAAUUAAAGGGGGGGGGUUGAGUUGGUAUGUACACAUACGCUUUAACUAAGGAAGAAGCUCUUAGAUGCCCGCGCCCAAGACACGAAGGCCUGCAAUAAAAUGAAGGCCAGAGUCAACAUUGGCUAUAACAGCAA